rnacentral:rRNA from 1 species
UACGUAGGCAGCAAGCGUUGUUCGGAAUUACUGGGCGUAAAGAGUGUGUAGGCGGUGCUCCAAGGUCUGGUGUGAAAUCUCCCGGCUUAACUGGGAGGGUGCAUUAGAAACUGGAAUGCUAGAGGAUGGGAGAGGUAAGCGGAAUUCCUGGUGUAGCGGUGAAAUGCGCAGAUAUCAGGAAGAACACCCGUGGCUAAGGCGGCUCUCUAGUACGUGACUGGACGCUGAGACGCGAAAGCGUGGGGAGCGAACAGG